GCUACCCUAGUGGAUAUGGCAUCUGCCCGGUAAGCGGAACACUGUGGGUUCGAAUCCCAUCCCUGGACA